AUGAAGGGAAGACCCAUAAAAAUUACAAGCUCAUCAAGAUCAUUAAAGAAGUUUUUGAGAUUAAUUUUAAGUGGCACAUGGUACAGUGCAAACAACAGAAAGGCAGUUGAGAAUGUGGGUAUAUGGUAAUCAAACAUAUGAAAGAGUUUAUCGACUCUAUACAACAUGAUUUGGUUAACCGACUUUGGAAUGAAGAAGGGUAUUUUGAAGAAUCUCAAAUUGAGAAUUUAGUGGUAGAUUUAAUGUCGGAAUUUAUUAAAAAGAUGUUUUGAUCUUGUACGCAUUAGUUUUUGUUUCAUACUUUUGUAAUUCCGAAUACUUGAGCGGGUUGUUGGGUUGUUUAAUACUAGUUAACUUUUGUCGUGAGCAUGUGCAUUUGUGUGUAAUUGGAAUUAUAUUGGGAAAUAUUACUAAAAAUUCU
rnacentral:lncRNA from 1 species